GCUGCAAAUUCAGGUGUCUCUCAAAUGAACAAUUUUGUGCAAGUCAAGCAUUCCCUGGAGUGGCCACUGAAAGUCCAAACGAUCCUUGGCGAAGUUAGGCCGUUUGGAAAGACAGGCACAAGGAUUUGGAUUCUAAUGAGAAUAAUCGGUCAGAGGCAGGAGUUUUUCCUUGAGAAGGAGAGGACUUGGAGACCCCAUGGGAGCUGGCCGUGGUCUGUAGAAAGGUGAUGCUUUGACACCUUGUGUCUGUAGGACCUCAGCCUGAGAGUUGGCUGUCUCCAAAUGCAGACCUGACAAUUUGCACUCCCUGUGGAAAACCAGAGAGAAGACUCUCUCUGGACAAGGUAUUGAGAUGGAAGGAGACCCUCAUUCAGCUUUACUGGUCAUCCACAGCAGUUUGUCUGAAUGGAUUCUGGUGCAGUGAGAACCACAAUCUCACCACUCUAUGAGGCUGGCUUGACCUACAACCUACAGGGGGCCUCUGUCUGUGUUCUGCCCUGUGAUUCUCCAUCUGGUGACCAAGAGUUUUGACAGAACAGCACCAAAUGGAAGCACAAAAGAGAGGAACGGCCCAAUUCCACCAAGAAUGCAAACAAAGGAGACCCAGUCAAAAACCUGGGCACUAAACUGUACUUCACUCCUUUUAUGGCUGAACAGCAUUUCACUGUUUAAAGACAUGGAUUUAAAGUCUUUUCUGGAACAGACAAC